AUGUUGGGGUUUAUUUCAGUGUUGUUUUGUUUUGGGCUCUUGGGUUACUUUGAAGGUCCAUUCUUUUGCUUGUGUUGUUAUGUCGGAGGAACUGAAUUGGGCCUGAAGUAGCAAAAUACUGCAUUCAAAUCAAACUUGAUGGUCCCUCAGAGUCGGAGGCAUCAUCAUUUGCAAAUGCAAAACGACCCAAGAUCUCCACUUCUUGUAGCAAACAUGGGAGGGAUUAUUAGGAAACCUCCUGAAGAAACACACGCACUGUAGAUGUUGACAUGGAUAAAUAUUCAACGCAAAGAAACUUGAAUGGCAUCAGCAAUCUGUGGGAGGCCAUUGACAUUCUUCACAUCUCGAAGUCGGAGCCACAACCAUCCAUCAGAUCAGAUGCCGGUGUUCCUGCUCUUAGACUCGUCGUCCCCAAUCGCCGUAAUCCUCUCCGUCAUCCUCUUCCUUCUCCUAUUUCGCUUUGCUAUCCUCCUCUUGUUCCUCGUCCUCAUCUUUUUUCUCUGCGCAGACCUCGUCCACCUCCUCUUUCGUCUUUGAUUUAAUGUGAGGGUGGUGAUAAAAGGGAGAGUGCAGGGUGUGUUUUACGGGGACUGCACUGUGCGGGAUGCAACUGAAUUAGGCUUGAAAGGUUGGGUUCGGAACCGGAUUGAUGGGUCUUUGGAACACUGCUUUCCGGGAACCCUGAUGCAGUUAAAGAGAUGGAGCAGAGGCGUCGCCGUGGUCCUCCAUCCGCAGUAGUCACGGGGCUCGAGGUUGACAAUCUUGCUUGCUUUAUGCUCCUUAGUUUGGAGGAAUCUUAGGCUUUAAGGGGAAUACUGUAAAUUAUUCUGUUAAAGAUAAGACUUAGAAAUUGUCAUUACUACCGUGUGUAAAUGGGUGUAUAUAUAUUCAAAAUGUAAUCUUAUUUCUUUAAUCAAUGAAAUCAUAUAUUUGUA
rnacentral:sRNA from 1 species